AAGUCGUAACAAGGUUUCUGUAGGUAAACCUGUAGAAGAAUUAUUACCUUUCUGGCUAUUUAAUAGCUUGUCUGGGGGCUGCAGUUUCUGUAGUUUUUAACUACAUUCGUGUUUUUUGCGUACUAUAUGUUUUCUUAGCGGGCUUGCUUGCUAGUUAGACAAACUAAAACUUUUUGCAAUUACAAUUAGCGUCUGAAUUAUAUAAUAAUUACAA
rnacentral:misc_RNA from 1 species